CAACGUCUUACCUUUUAAGAGACACCUAGAACCGAAUAUUUCCACUUCCUCACCCACCUGGCACCACCGCCAUUACUCCCACUGACCUUCACCCCCACUACCACCACCUCCGCCUCAUUGCCGCCACUCUCCACUCCCAUUUCUCCAUCCACAAUCUCAAACGAAAGGCAAUCCCUAAUUUUUAGAUCGGCAUUUAUCUCAUUUGAAGCUACAUUACAAGUGGUGAGUUGAUUUUCUGUAUUGAAUACUCUUAAAGUUACUGUAAUGGCGUAUUUGCUGGGUUAGCGUGAAUGUUCCGUUUGGUUGUGCUUUUCUGAAAACGAUUGCUUCCUUAAACUAUUGCUUCUUUCUUUAAAGCUCUGUUUGUUUCCGGUUUUGAUUUGCUGAUUGGAGUGUAUUAGUGGCCAUUUAAGCUGCAACAGACAGCUUAAAUGGCUAGUUCUGUUGAUGCCGGAGAAGUUUCGAUAAUCGUCUUCGGGCUUUGGUCUCAGCAUGUCAGUUUUGUUACUUCGUAAAGUGAUAGAUUGUGAAUGUACUUUUAAGAUUGAAAUUUCCAGUCUGCAAUGGACCGCCGAAGUUGGCCCUGGAAGAAAAAAUCAUCUGAUAAGGCUGAUAAAAAUGCUGCAGCAACGGAUUCUGGUGGUGGUAUUGUGGCUUCAAGUGGAUCACAGGCGGCGGAUAAGGAUAACUACAGAAAACCCAACUAUGUUCAAAUUUCUGUGGAAUCAUACACCCGUCUGACUGGUUUGGAGGAUCAAGUGAAGACAUAUGAGCAACAAGUUCAGACUUUGGAGGAUGAAAUUAAGGAUUUGAAUGAAAAGCUCUCUGCAGCAAAUUCGGAGAUGACUACAAAGGAAAACCUUGUGAAACAGCAUGCUAAAGUUGCUGAGGAAGCUGUUUCAGGUUGGGAAAAGGCUGAAGCAGAAGCUUUGGCGCUGAAAAACCAUCUAGAAUCAGUCACACUUUCAAAGCUUACUGCUGAAGAUCGGGCAUCACAUUUGGAUGGUGCUCUUAAAGAGUGCAUGCGGCAAAUACGAAACUUGAAGGAAGAACAUGAACAGAAAUUGCAAGAUGUUAUAAUCUCAAAGACCAAACAAUGGGACAAAACUAAGCUUGAGUUUGAAGCAAAAAUAGUUAAUUUAGACCAAGAACUCCUUAUGUCUGCAGCUGAAAAUGCUGCCCUUUCAAGGUCACUGCAAGAGCGUUCUAACAUGCUAAUCAAAAUGAGCGAAGAAAAAUCACAAGCUGAGGCUGAGAUUGAACUUUUGAAGAGCAAUAUUGAAUCAUGUGAAAGGGAAAUAAAUUCACUUAAAUAUGAACUCCACAUAGUUUCCAAGGAGCUGGAGAUUCGUAAUGAGGAAAAGAACAUGAGUAUGAGAUCUGCAGAAGCAGCAAACAAGCAACAUAUGGAGGGUGUCAAAAAAAUAGCUAAGCUGGAAGCAGAGUGCCAAAGGCUACGAGGUCUUGUGCGAAAGAAGUUGCCUGGUCCUGCUGCACUUGCCCAAAUGAAGCUAGAGGUUGAGAAUUUAGGCCGAGAUUACGGAGAUUCUCGACUAAGGAGGUCACCUGGUAAGCUUCCCAGUCCACAUCUGUCUGCUGUGCCUGAAUUUUCACUUGACAAUGCUCACAAAUUCCAUAAAGAGAAUGAAUUUCUCACAGAGCGUUUGUUGGCCAUGGAAGAAGAAACAAAGAUGCUGAAAGAAGCUUUAGCAAAGCGUAAUAGUGAACUGCAGGCUUCUAGGAAUCUGUGUGCCAAGACAGCAAGUAGGCUUCAAAGUUUAGAAGCACAACUUCAAGUGAACAAUCAACAGAAAGGUUCACCAAAUUCUAUGGUUCAGGUUCCUACUGAAGGUUACUCUACUCAAAAUAUGAGCAAUCCACCUAGCUUGACCUCCACCAUGUCUGAAGAUGGAAAUGAUGAUGACCAAAGUUGUGCUGACUCUUGGGCAGUGUCAUCGAUCUCCGAGCUCUCUCAAUUAAAGAAGGAAAAGGAAAAGCCUAAUAAGACCAAAAAUGCUAAGCACUUGGAGCUUAUGGAUGAUUUCCUGGAGAUGGAGAAGUUGGCUUGCUUAAAUGCAGAUGGUGCCAUCACAAUUUCAGAUUCUCCAAACAAUAAGACAUCUGAAAUUCUGAAUGGUGAUCCUUCAGUAGAUGCCGCUUCGGUCAAGGGUACCCUGUCUGAAGGACAAUCUAUUUUGGAUCCAUUAGUGAAUCGUGUAUCUUCAAAAAUGGAUUUGUCAGCAGUGGAUUCUGGAUCUAAUGCAGAGCAGCCACCCUUGAUGAAGCUGCAGUCAAGAAUUUCUCUGUUACUUGAGUCUAUGCCUAAAGAUGCUGAUAUGGGGAAAAUUUUAGAGGAUGUUAAACGUGUUGUGCAGGAUGUACAUGAUACUUUAAAUCAGCAGUCUGGAAGUUGUGUUCCUGAGGAAUUGCAUGCUCCUGAUGAUGCUGUAUGGAAUUAUUCCGGUCAGACUUGUCCUGAAGAUAUUAAGGCAGCUACAGAACCAGUCCACUCAGUAAGCCGAGAGUUGGUCAGUGCCAUUUCUGGUAUUCACGAUUUUGUGUUGUUCCUGGGACAAGAAGCAAUAGCAGUUCAUGACACAUCUUCCGAUGGUGAUGGUAUGAGUCAAAAAAUCGAGGAAUUUUUGGUCACCUUCAAUAAAGUAUUAAAUGGCAAUACAAGUUUGGUUGAUUUUGUUUGUGACCUUGCUCGUGUAUUAGCUAAAGCCAGUGAACUUAGAUUUAAUGUCCUGGGUUAUAAAGGUUCUGAAGGAGAAAUCAAUAGUCCUGAUUGCAUAGAUAAGGUUGCCUUACCAGUGGAUAAGGUUCUUCAAAGGGAUUCAUCAGGAGAAAGAUAUCAAAAUGGUUGUGCUCACAUUUCUAGUCCUACCUCUAACCCUGAGGUCCCUGAUGAUGGAAAUUUGGUAUCUGGCUAUGGGUCAAAUGCAACAUUGUGCAAAGUCUCACCAGAGGAAUUUGAAGAAUUGAAAUCAGAGAAAGAAAGCAUGGCUGUGGAUCUUGCUAGGUGCACUGAAAACCUGGAAAUGACAAAGUCUCAAUUACAUGAAACUGAGCAGCUUCUAGCUGAAGUUAAAUCACAAUUGGGUUCUGCACAAAAGUCAAAUAGCUUGGCUGAGACACAGCUGAAAUGUAUGGCUGAGUCAUACAGGUCACUUGAAGCUCGUGCAGAGGAGUCAGAAACUGAAGUGAACCUUCUGCGAGGAAAAGUAGAAACUCUAGAGAAUGAGCUUGAAGAUGAAAAGCAAUGUCAUUGGGAUGCUUUGACCAAAUGCAAGGAGUUAGAAGAGCAACUGCAAAUGUAAGCUUUGUUCUUUCUUAUAUUCUCCUUUUUUCUGGGUGAUGAAUAGUUUAUGAGGGAUAGAAAAGAAAGAAUAGCCUUUCUUUCAUUGUAUGCACAUUUGCCAUCUAUCCUUUGCAAAUUGAUUUGUCUGCCAUGUCUAAGGUUAGCCAGGAGCCAACUUAGCUCCUUCUAACUUUCUGGAUUUAAAAUCAGAUUUUUGCUGUAUUCUACAGAUAUAAUGUCUAGUUGUUUGUAGGAUUUGGUAAUGGGUCCUACUAGUGAAAAUAAAAUAAAUUUAUGCAUAUGUUAGUUCUAACUAUAAAAAAUUUGAGCAUGUGCAUUGCAAUUUGAUUCUCCACUUCAUUUCAGUAACACUUACAAACUAUAACUCACUAUAUCACUUAAUGUUGAGAAUUUGAGAUGGGUCUUCCCUUGGCAUUUUUCCUAUUGAUUUUCUCAAAUUAAUAGAAGUUCUUAAUCUGUUUUGCAUUGGGGAAUUGGCCACUAAUGCUAUAAUUUAUUACUGUGCUUGCAACUGACUGAUUUAAAUUUUUUUAAGUCUCAUGUGGAAUUUCCUAAUGUUUCAUUUAUAUUUGCUUUUAGCUCUAAUAUUUUAUACUGUCAUCUUCAGGAAAGAGAGCUGUUCCGUUUGUUCUUCAUCUGCUGACGCUGACCUCAAGACCAAACAAGUGAGAUUAUCUCCUUUAUCUUUCUUGAAUUUACUUUUGAACAGUACUGCCAAUUUAUGAGCAAAUAGAUCAUCCUUGCAAGUUGAUACAAAAAUAACUGCCUGUGGAUGCUUGUCCAAAAUAAGAUGUUGGUCAAAAAAUAAUUUAGAACUCCAAAUAUGUUUGUAUUUUGGUUGCCUACUUUGCAUCUCAAGUCUGUUGCAAGCAAAGCAAUUAUUUGUCGAGUAAAAUGUGGGGGUAGAACUUCGGCCUGAACUAUAGUGUUUUGCUCUUCACAAUAUCAGUAUGAAAGGAUAAAAUCUCGUAUCAGCCUCAAUCCAUUUUAUUUUACAUUCUUCUUUUCCAUGAUAGAAUAUGAAAAGCUGAACAUGGAAAGUGUUUCUGUUAUCACAGGAGAGAGAGCUAGCAUCUGCAGCUGAAAAGCUGGCUGAGUGCCAGGAGACCAUAUUUCUUCUUGGAAAGCAGUUGAAAGCUUUGCAUCCUCAAGCAGAGCUCAUGGGAUCUCCAUACAGUGAGAGGAGUCAAAGGGGUGAGGGAUUUCCUGAAGAUGAACCUACUACUAGUGGCAUGAACUUGCAGGACUUUGAUCAGGCUGAGAUAGAUGGUACUGUUUCAACAAACCUGCACAGAUCGGGUGCUGAGUCCCCCAUGGAUUUGUACAACCAACCAUGUAGUCCAUCCAACACGGAAGCAAGCCUCCCAAGAUCACCAAUCAAUUCAAAGCAUCCAAAACACAGGUCUACCAAGUCAACAUCCUCAUCUUCCACACUUGUUCAGGCACCAGAGAAUAAUCUACGAGGUUUCAGCAGGUUCUUUUCCUCGAAAGGAAGGAAUGGCAAUUAGGAUUUUGCUUGCAGCUCCGCAGGCAUAAUAAAAUUAAGGUUGGACAAAGGUUCAUAAGUAAUAAUCCAAAGCACAUAAAAAUGGAUUCAUCUACCAUCAUUGGUGCUAGAAUCACCUGUGGAAGCGUUUGCUUGGUUUCAUGUUGUGAAAAUGAUGCUUUCAACGCCAUGUAAUUUUUGUAACUGAUGACUGUAUAUGUUCCCAUAUAUGCUAGGCUCUUUUUUUAUUUUUUGGGUUCAAUUCCUCUCAUUUGCCUUCUGUAAUUUCUUUACUUGAAAGAGACUGCGUUUCUGGAUUGUUACAAUAUCUGAAUAUAAUUUCGUAUGUGGCAGUGGCAGUUUUGUAUGAUUCUUU
rnacentral:misc_RNA from 1 species